rnacentral:lncRNA from 1 species
AGAGGUCACAAUAGUAUAUGUUUUUAUCAAACUGAAUUCUAAUUGUUAGAAUCAAGCUAGUUAAUCAGCAAGCAACUAGUAGGGGUCUGUUCUAUCCCAGAUGAACUCUAGGUAUAAUUCCUAAACAAUGCAAUUUUAAUAUACAAAGGAGGUAAUACAAAAGAGCCUGAGGAUAUUGGCAAGCAUGCAAGCCUAUGCAAAUUAUGCAAGUUCCAUCUAUUUUAAAGUGCUGUAUUGUGUUAUAUAAAU